rnacentral:rRNA from 1 species
GACGAACGCUGGCGGCGUGCUUAACACAUGCAAGUCGAACGGAAAGGCCCUGCUUUUGUGGGGUGCUCGAGUGGCGAACGGGUGAGUAGCACGCGAGUAUACUGCCCUUGACUUUGGGAUAACUUCAGGAAACUGGGGCUAAUACCGGAUAGGAGCUCCUGCUGCAUGGGGGGGGUUGGAAAGUUUCGGCCGUUGGGGAUGGACUCGCGGCUUAUCAGCUUGUUGGUGGGGUAGUGGCUUACCAAGGCUUUGACGGGUAGCCGGCCUGAGAGGGUGACCGGCCACAUUGGGCCUGCGAUACGGCCCAGACGCCUACGGGAGGCAGCGGGGGGGAAUAUUGCACAAUGGGCGGAAGCCUGAUGCAGCAACGCCGCGUGCGGGAUGACGGCCUUCGGGUUGUAAACCGCUUUCGCCUGUGACGAAGCGGGAGUGACGGUAAUGGGUAAAGAAGCACCGGCUAACUACGUG